rnacentral:rRNA from 1 species
UACGAAGGGGGCUAGCGUUGCUCGGAAUCACUGGGCGUAAAGGGUGCGUAGGCGGGUCUUUAAGUCAGGGGGGAAAUCCUGGAGCUCAACUCCAGAACUGCCUUUGAUACUGAAGAUCUUGAGUUCGGGAGAGGUGAGUGGAACUGCGAGUGUAGAGGUGAAAUUCGUAGAUAUUCGCAAGAACACCAGUGGCGAAGGCGGCUCACUGGCCCGAUACUGACGCUGAGGCUCGAAAGCUAGGGGAGCAAACGGG